rnacentral:rRNA from 1 species
UGGGGAAUAUUGCACAAUGGGCGAAAGCCUGAUGCAGCAACGCCGCGUGAGUGAUGAAGGCCUUCGGGUUGUAAAGCUCUGUCUUUUGGGACGAUAAUGACGGUACCAAAGGAGGAAGCCACGGCUAACUACGUGCCAGCAGCCGCGGUAAUACGUAGGUGGCAAGCGUUGUCCGGAUUUACUGGGCGUAAAGGAUGCGUAGGCGGAUUUUUAAGUGAGAUGUGAAAUACCCGGGCUUAACUUGGGUGCUGCAUUUCAAACUGGGAAUCUAGAGUGCGGGAGAGGAGAAUGGAAUUCCUAGUGUAGCGGUGAAAUGCGUAGAGAUUAGGAAGAACACCAGUGGCGAAGGCGAUUCUCUGGACCGUAACUGACGCUGAGGCAUGAAAGCGUGGGUAGCAAACAGGAUUAGAUACCCUGGUAGUCCACGCCGUAAACGAUGAGUACUAGGUGUAGGAGGUAUCGACCCCUUCUGUGCCGCAGUUAACACAAUAAGUACUCCGCCUGGGAAGUACGAUCGCAAGGUUAAAACUCAAAUGAAUUGACGGGGUCAUAGCUGUUUCCU